rnacentral:rRNA from 1 species
UACGAAGGGGGCGUAGCGUUGCUCGGAAUUACUGGGCGUAAGGGAGCGUAGGCGGACAUUAAGUCAGGGGUGAAAUCCCAGAGCUCAACUCUGGAACUGCCUUUGAUACUGGGUGUCUUGAGUGUGAUAGAGGUAUGUGGAACUCCGAGUGUAGAGGUGAAAUUCGUAGAUAUUCGGAAGAACACCAGUGGCGAAGGCGACAUACUGGAUCAUUACUGACGCUGAGGCUCGAAAGCGU